AGAGUACGUGAAACCGUUCAGGGGGUAAACCUGAGAAACCCGAAAGAUCGAAUGGGGAGAUUCAUCGUCAGCGUGGUCGGCUUCCGUGCGGUGCGCGAUGUUCGCGGGUUCCUCCUCGCGGGGUUCCUUCCGCGAGCACGCGUCCGCCGCGGUACGCCCGGCUACGUCGGCGUGCACUUCUCCCCUAGUAGAACGUCGCGACCCGCUGGGUGUCGGUCUACGGACCCUCGACGGUUAGACUGUACCGUCGUCUCGUGCGCACGGUUGCAGACGUCUUGGAAAUCAUCCCGACCGACUGCUCGGCGGUAUACGCACGGUAUCGAGCCGCAACUUUGAACUGCGUUCCGGCCUGUGGCAAGCCUGAUCAUUUCGUUCCCGGUGUUACGGACCUAGUGCCGUCUACCGGGGCUGGUCAGCUGUUGGCGCACGGUGUCCUCGAACAGGCUCAUUCAUGAAUUUCGAACGUGAUACCGGUCGGCGACGCUAUCGCUUUGGGUACUUUCAGGACCCGUCUUGAAACACGGACCAAGGAGUCUAACAUGUACGCGAGUCAUUGGGACUUGUAAACCUAAAGGCGCAUUGAAAGAGAAGAUCGUCCUCGCGUCGAUCGAGGGAGGAUGAGCACGGCUGCCGGCCGACUUCGCACUCCCGGGGCGUCUCGAACUCAUCGCGAGUUGAGGCGCACCUAGAGCGUACACGUUGGGACCCGAAAGAUGGUGAACUAUGCCUGGUCAGGACGAAGUCAGGGGAAACCCUGAUGGAGGUCCGUAGCGAUUCUGACGUGCAAAUCGAUCGUCGGAACUGGGUAUAGGGGCGAAAGACUAAUCGAACCAUCUAGUAGCUGGU
rnacentral:rRNA from 1 species